rnacentral:rRNA from 1 species
GACGAACGCUGGCGGCGUGCUUAACACAUGCGAGUCGAACGGAAAGGCCCUGCUUGCAGGGUACUCGAGUGGCGAACGGGUGAGUAACACGUGGGUGAUCUGCCCUGCACUUCGGGAUAAGCCUGGGAAACUGGGUCUAAUAUCGGAUAGGAGCCAUUUUUAGUGUGAUGGUUGGAAAGUUUUUUCGGUGUAGGAUGAGCUCGCGGCCUAUCAGCUUGUUGGUGGGGUAAUGGCCUACCAAGGCGGCGACGGGUAGCCGGCCUGAGAGGGUGGACGGCCACAUUGGGACUGAGAUACGGCCCAGACUCCUACGGGAGGCAGCAGUGGGGAAUAUUGCACAAUGGGCGCAAGCCUGAUGCAGCGACGCCGCGUGGGGGAUGACGGCCUUCGGGUUGUAAACUCCUUUCGCUAGGGACGAAGCUUUUUGUGACGGUACCUAGAUAAGAAGCACCGGCUAACUACGUG